CAAAAAGCCAGAAAAUGUCCCUUGAGAGCUAAAUUUGUCUGUUUGUUGUGUGUAACGGAAGUGACGGAAAGCACCUGGUGAUUAUCUUAAAACUGAAG